UACAGAGGUGGCAAGCGUUGUUCGGAAUUACUGGGCGUAAAGGGCGCGUAGGCGGCCUUGUAAGUCUCGUGUGAAAGCCCUCGGCUUAACUGAGGAUCUGCACGGGAUACUGCGAGGCUUGAGUUCGGGAGAGGAAAGCGGAAUUCCGGGUGUAGCGGUGAAAUGCGUAGAUAUCAGGAGGAAUACCGGUGGCGAAGGCAGGUCUCUGGGCCAUAACUGACGCUGAGAAGCGAAAGCAUGGGGAGCGAACAGG
rnacentral:rRNA from 1 species